UGCGUAGGUGGUUUCUUAAGUCAGAGGUGAAAGGCUACGGCUCAACCGUAGUAAGCCUUUGAAACUGGGAAACUUGAGUGCAGGAGAGGAGAGUGGAAUUCCUAGUGUAGCGGUGAAAUGCGUAGAUAUUAGGAGGAACACCAGUUGCGAAGGCGGCUCUCUGGACUGUAACUGACACUGAGGCACGAAAGUGUGGGAGCAAACA
rnacentral:rRNA from 1 species